AAUGAACGCUGGCGGCGCGCCUAAUACAUGCAAGUCGAGCGAGAAGACGUAGCAAUACGUUUGUAAAGCGGCGAACGGGUGAGGAAUACAUGGGUAACCUACCCUCGAGUGGGGAAUAACUAGCCGAAAGGUUAGCUAAUACCGCGUACGCUUCUUGGACUUCGGUUCAGGGAGGAAAGCGAUGCCGAGGGUAUCGCGCUCUUGGAUGGGCUCAUGUCCUAUCAGCUUGUUGGGAGGUAACGGCUCACCAAGGCUUCGACGGGUAGCUGGUCUGAGAGGACGAUCAGCCACACUGGCACUGCGACACGGGCCAGACUCCUACGGGAGGCAGCAGUAAGGAAUAUUGCGCAAUGGGCGAAAGCCUGACGCAGCGACGCCGCGU
rnacentral:rRNA from 1 species